rnacentral:lncRNA from 10 species
CUUGGCUUUGACUCUCUCUUCAUUUCUGUCCUGAGGAGUCUCUCCCUUGUCAACAUGGAUUAUGGCAGAUGCCUGAAAAGUUUCCAGAGGGGCUGGCCAACACAGGAGGCAGGGUCCCUGUAGCUAGAAGACCCAGCUGAAAAAUUUGCCUUCGACGGAAACAUGAACAUGAUAGGCGGCCUUACAGAGCAUAUGCCACUCUUUUUGGCAUAUGAGAAGCUCAUUGUAGCAGGCACUCCCGGAAUGUGAUAAGAAUAGUGGAGGUGAAGUUAGGCGUCAUAAAGAACUCUGAAAGCCAAGAGACUUCUCUCCUGAGCCUUUCAGCUUCCUGCUCUGUGGACCAGUUACUCUCCAGGCCAAUGGAGAAUCCCCUUUGCCACCAGCCUGGGCAUUCCCUUCACCUCUCUCCUGUGUUGGAGCUGUUCCUUCCUGGCGUUCGUGCGCUCUCUCUCUCCUGGUGUGGUGGAGCAUAUUGUCGAGUAGCUUCUUAAGACACGAUACUUGGAACAUCCUUGACUCUCUGGGGAUAUUAAUUAUUGCUUUAAGCCAUUUACUGAGCACCUACUAGUUGGCUUUCCAUACUCAUUGAGAAUACCAAGAAGAAUAAGCUCAUUUCUUAUGCUGAAGAGGAGACAGACAUGCAAAUCAAGAAGUGGACACAUUACAAAAUGACCCAGGAGACACUGAGGGCCUCUGCUCCAUCCUUGCCAAUUCUGAGAAUAGUGCAGCCACAAGGAGGAUUGUUCUGAGGCUUCUCACAGGGCACAAAACCCCCACGCACUGUCCUCUGGCCACCUACAGCCUCUCUGACUCUGCACUGCCUCUGACCCUGCACUGCCUGCUUGAGCAAAGCAGUCUUUGAAAACCAUUUCCAGCCUGGCUAAUGAUGCAGUGCUUUGAAAAGUGCCACCAGGAUGAAAAACAGCUCACAAAUGGGGACUCCUCGUUAUUUUACCAGCACAGCCGGCAAGAAGCUCCUGCCAAGCAAGAUCAAACUUCUCAGGAAUGUUUUGAAAAGCUGGUGGAAACAAGGGCCUCUGUCACAUUUCUGUCACACCUCACCCCAGCAUGUGGGGAAAGCUCUCUUGGAACGAAUGUUAGUCGGUCUCAGAAACACACAAAAUUGAUGUCUCCAGCAGCAUUGCCAUUUCCACUGCAGACUUAAAGCUAUAUCUUUCUGGAUUCUAAUGCAGAAAGGGAACAGUUAGAGAAUCCAUCCAGGCUUUUUCUAAAAUGAGAGCCGGUUAAAGAUGCUGUUUAAAAAGGUGCCUCUCAAAGCUUCCCUCCUGACCUUCCAUACCAAAAGCCUGAGCUUAAUUACCUACAUAAUUUUCCUGGCUCCUGUGCUGUGGUCCAGGGGCCCUCUCUGUCCACCGGAAGCUAAGCCAUCUGUCGGACAUCUCUCUCUGGACUCCCCAGGGUUCCCUCUCACCUACACAUCUCGAUUAGCAGAUGACAGUUCUGCUAUAAUGUUUAUUUUACCUCUAACAGAUUUUCAGCUAAGUAGGUGAAGGGGCGGAGGUUCCCUGCCCAGAGCCAGUUCUGGGCUUCCUUUGGCUCCUCCUUCCAGUCUGCUAGGAAAAGGAACCUGGAGGCCUUUAGGAGGGAGGAGAGAUCACAUUUUCUUUGCCAUUGAGUAGUGAAGGUCAGGCCCUCCUUGCCAGCCACAAAGCAGAGAAUUGUUUGUUUAUUUCUCCGAGUAGCACUGUUCUGUCUCUGUGAGCAGCAGACAAAACCAGAAAAGGGAAUUCAUUCUGUGGAGCAGACCAAAGGCAGGGGGAAAACUUGUCCUUUGGAAAGAUAAAAGCAAAUUCAAUGAAGUGAUCAUCUUAAAUCUUCUAGUUAUUCUUCCCCUCCACCACCUUUCACCCCCAAUCUGAGUUUUCCUGGGAUUUAGGUAAGAACCCAUGAGAGAAAUGAGAUAUGGCAGAUAGAGAUGAGAGCAGCAAUAGGAACUUGGGGUGGAAAGGUGUGCAUUCAUCUAUAGAUCACUCAGCCAAAUAAGCCACUUAGAGAGUCCAGGCCCACAUUAAUUCCUUUGAUGACUCAGUGACGAGCAGAAUGCAUUUGCAAUACAGUAAGGCCAGAAACCUGGAAGAAGCAUCCUCCAUUCCUCCCUCUCUCUUAUCCUCCACACCUAAGCCAUGAUCAAUCUUACAGAGUCUGACUCCUAAAUAUCUGUCAAACUCACGCUCUUCUCUCCAUUUCCAUGGCUACUGCUGUAAUUCAGCACCAUCGAUUCCUGCCCAAAUGAUUGACACAGCUUUCUAAUUAGGCUGUUUGCCCCUUCCAAUCUACUCCCCACAUAGCACCCAGAGAAACCUUUCACAGGUGCAAAUCUUAUGCCAUUUUCUGGAUAAAACCCUUCAAGAUCUUAUUUCCUCCUCUCUUCUCCAGGCCCUAGUUUUAUGCUGAAAGCCCCAAGUCCUGCAUAAUUUGGUUCCUGCUUAUUUCUCCAGCCUUAACCCUUACAGCUUCCUGCUUCAAACAGUAGGCUCUAGCAAACUUAGCUUUUCUUUUGCAAAAUAGACCAAAUGCUCUUUCACUUUUGUGCCAUCAUGCAUGCUGUUUUCUCUGCUUGGAACAAUCUUUUUGAUACUCCCAGCCUUCCUUAAUUAGCUAUUUCCUACCUGAACUUUAGGUCUCAACUAAAAUGUCACUUCCUCUAGAAAGACUUUACUAGCCCUCAAGGCAGUUGAGCUAGAAGUUUCCUCUGUGCUCCCAUAGCAACUUAUGGAUUCACACGGCCCAGUUGUAAGAGCCAAGAGAGCAAGAGCCACAGCUAUGAGGGCCACCAUUGUAUUCCUGGCCCUGGAGAAGAAAACAAAAUAGGCUCAAUAAAAAAUUUUAAAAUAAAUAAAU